rnacentral:rRNA from 1 species
GGCGAACGGGUGAGUAACACGUGGGUGAUCUGCCUUGCACUCUGGGAUAAGCUUGGGAAACUGGGUCUAAUACCGGAUAGGACAGCUGUUUAGUGUCAGUUGUGGAAAGUUUUUUCGGUGCAAGAUGAGCUCGCGGCCUAUCAGCUUGUUGGUGGGGUAAUGGCCUACCAAGGCGUCGACGGGUAGCCGGCCUGAGAGGGUGGACGGCCACAUUGGGACUGAGAUACGGCCCAG